CCUCGCUGUUCUAGUGCGGCCUUCAGGUCGGUCACCCGCAGCGCCUGAAGCGGCUUCCCGUCCAGAGUCACCUCCUCCAGCUCCGCCAUCUUGUGUGAGGUACUCGGCUCCCGUCUCGACGGCUUCGGGCAUCUUCGGCUCCGCCCCUCGCUCUUCCCUUUCCGAACUCGGACAUCUCAGUCCUACAGAGCUUAGCUCUAGAUUCCGUACGUAAACACUCUCCCCAGGCACAACCGGAUUCGGAGACGCUCGGCUUUCUCCGGCCCUGCGGCAGAUAGGGUCCGGCGUUCCGGUGCCGAGGCACCCAGCGGGGUUCGGCCUUGUACGGGGUCCGGAAGUGCGUGGGCUUUCCUGUGGGGUUUGCUGGGAACACGGAGGUGACCGAUGUAGUCUGAGCCCCCGGACUCCUGUGACUUCCUUCUAGGGUUUCCCGGGGUGAGAAUAAAGAGGAUGUCACUGAAGUCAGCUGCCUCUUGGAUAUCACCAUCUUCUACUUUUGCUAUUGCUCCAGAUAAUUAUUCCUACCUCUCCAUGUCUUACUUCACUUCGCAGGAGAUGAAGUGUGUUCUGCACUGGUUUGCUAGCUGGUCAGAUCCCCAGCGAGAGCGUUUCCUUCAGGACUUGGUAGCCAAAGCAGUGCCAGGCAAAUUACAGUCCCUUUUAGAGGGACUAGAACAGCUUAGUGUGUCUGGAGUGGAUCGACCACCCCACAUCUUUGAUUGCCAGCUUCGGCUCUGGGAUCAGUGGUUCCGAAGUUGGGCUGAAGAGGAGCGCAACGAAUUUGUCAGACAACUGGAGGCCAGUGAGCCAGACUUUGUAGCAAAGUUCUAUCAAGCAGUUGCUGCUACAGCUGGUAAGGACUGAUAGGAGUCAGCAUCAUAAAAGACAAUAUGGAUCUAAUGGAAUUGGGUUGAUAGCUCUGGUGUAGGGAUUCUCAGAUGAAAACCCUGGCUUGACUGGGUUAUUGUCAUUGAACUUCUAUUCUGUAGAUCACUUCAGAUUUUAAAAAUAGCUAAUUCAAAUCACUGGCUAUUAUUCUGCUUCCUCACAUAGUACUAACUAUGUGAGUACUAAACUUCCCAAGAUUCUGUCAUCUUGACUUCCUUUGCAAACUGUCUCCAAAAAGAAACUGAACAUCAGAAACCAAACUCACUGGAGGGGUUAAGGGGUAGGGGAAGUAAGAGUAACAUUCUUUCUAGAUACCAGGUGGGUAUCAGAUCAAAGAGUUUAGCUAAAUCUGGACCAGUUCCCUCCCUGAACCUUUUCUGGUUUGGUUUGUAAACUAAGUGUUAGGGUAUCAGUGGAUCAGUCAAAUGGAAGGAUGGAGUGGAGAUGAUUACAUGCCAAGCCUAAUGGCCCUGGUUCUUAUCAAAGAUUCACAGUAUUUUUGGAGCCAGUAGCAAGAGUUCUUAACUCUGCUAAGAUUAUGAAAACCUUCCUCUAGGAUGGAAGGUUUAUUUUUGUAAUUCAGUUUAAAAAAUAUUAGGUGCUGGGAAUACAAAGACAAAAAAAAAAUUAUCCUUGCCCUCAAGGAGCAUACAGGUACUUGUAUCAGAAUAAAAAGAUGAUCUUGUUUAGUGUGAA